GGGGAUUUAGCUCAGUGGUUAGAGCGCUUGCCUAGGACGCGCAAGGCCCUGGGUUCGGUCCCCAGCUCCG
rfam:Rattus norvegicus chromosome 1, whole genome shotgun sequence.